AGCCAGCCUUGAGCCACAUCCUCUUGCAAAGUUGUUUACUCCUUAGCUCUAGCUGAGCCUUAUCUUGGCAAAAUAGGAAACUGCUGAAAGGCAGUCUGUUUACUUCAGGAACUGAGAUAAGCAGAUAGCAUGGUCUGAGAUAACUGCCAGAGCCCCAGAGUCAUCACAGCUACCCCUCCCCACUUCCUCCCCGCUUGGCUUUAAAAACCCCUCUUUGUGCCUAAUAAAGUUAGACCUUGACAAGCAUUGCUUGGUCUCAUUCCUUCUUUCUCUCCCAUUAUUUUCAGGUUCUAGCCCACCUCAACCCACGAAUAACUAGGCCCCGCUGGUCAGGGCAAGUGGUGCCCAACACAGGACUCAAGGGUGGGUUUUUACCGAACGGAGGCCCCCAACCCUGAAGAAAAUCGGUAGCGCGCACCGAGAAGAAUGCCGGACCUGGUGACCUGGGAGCUGCAGCAAGGCAAGAAAUUGGAAUCUGUCCUCACCGCUCAUGAUUCCUGGGGUCAUUCUCUAGAACAGACAAGGCUUAAACCUAUUGUUUUUACAACAAGGAGGAAUUUGUGCAGCACUCAAAGAUGAAUGUUGCUUUUAUGAUGAUAAGACUGGCUUAGUGGAAGACAGCUUAGAUAGAGUGCAGAAAAGUCUUGAGGAAGGUAAACAACGGGGAACAGGCUGAGUCCUGGUAUAAAAAUUGGUUUUCUACCUCCCCUUGGCUUUCUACCCUGCUUCCUUCUCUCCUGGGACUAUUUGUGGGAUUGUUGCUGCUGCUGACUUUAGGGCCUUGGGCAUUCCAGAAAUUAACUCAAUUGAUCAAAACUCAAAUUGAUUCCAUGCUCAAAAAACCUAUUUCUGUAUACUACCUUCAGCUUUUGGAAAAGGAACAGGGCUCCUCUGAGGAACCUGAUGAGGAUGGUGACAAUGCCAGUCCUGAUCCCCCUAGACAAGGACUUGAUUUCACAGGACUCAAACAACAGAGGACCUGGUUCUCUCAAAUAUGGAGACGUCAAUGAUGGGAGUAUCGCGGUGCCACAAAGCAGAUGCGGACCCUCCUCUUCGGCUUCCCUCAACGAUGGGAGUAGCAUAGGACCGUCUCUCAGGAGCCCACUCAUCUUGCCUGACUCACCUGAUUUUUGACUAUGUCCUUGAGUGCUGAGGGCAGAUGCACCCUAUGUAGCCUAAGACAGAGGUCCUACCCAUUCGUCACAUAGUGACAAGCCCAUCCCCAGUGUCCCGAUUGUGGGAGCCCACCGUGUAGCCUAAGACAGACCCUCCAUAAAAAUAAUAAAAUAGGGAGAUGUUGGGAGCCGGCCUCGAGUCACAGCCAGCCUUGAGCCACAUCCUCUUGCAAAGUUGUUUACUCCUUAGCUCUAGCUGAGCCUUAUCUUGGCAAAAUAGGAAACUGCUGAAAGGCAGUCUGUUUACUUCAGGAACUGAGAUAAGCAGAUAGCAUGGUCUGAGAUAACUGCCAGAGCCCCAGAGUCAGCACAGCUACCCCUCCCCAUUUCCUCCCUGCUUGGCUUUAAAAACCCCUCUUUGUGCUUAAUAAAGUGAGACCUUGACAAAGA